rnacentral:rRNA from 1 species
UACGUAGGGAGCGAGCGUUAUCCGGAAUUACUGGGCGUAAAGCGCAUGUAGGCGGUUCUAUAAGUUGGAUGUGAAAGCUUUUGGCUCAACCAAGAGAGGCCAUUCAAAACUGUAGGACUUGAGAGUGAGAGAGGAAAGUGGAAUUCCCGGUGUAGUGGUGAAAUGCGUAGAUAUCGGGAGGAACACCAGAGGCGAAAGCGGCUUUCUGGCUCAUUUCUGACGCUGAGAUGCGAAAGCUAGGGGAGAGAACGGG